AUGAACGCUGGCGGCGUGCCUAAUACAUGCAAGUCGAGCGAACGGACGAGAAGCUUGCUUCUCUGAUGUUAGCGGCGGACGGGUGAGUAACACGUGGAUAACCUACCUAUAAGACUGGGAUAACUUCGGGAAACCGUAGCUAGUACCGGAUAAUAUUUUGAACCGCAUGGUUCAAAAGUGAAAGACGGUCUUGCUGUCACUUAUAGAUGGAUCCGCGCUGCAUUAGCUAGUUGGUAAGGUAACGGCUUACCAAGGCAACGAUGCAUAGCCGACCUGAGAGGGUGAUCGGCCACACUGGAACUGAGACACGGUCCAGACUCCUACGGGAGGCAGCAGUAGGGAAUCUUCCGCAAUGGGCGAAAGCCUGACGGAGCAACGCCGCGUGAGUGAUGAAGGUCUUCGGAUCGUAAAACUCUGUUAUUAGGGAAGAACAUAUGUGUAAGUAACUGUGCACAUCUUGACGGUACCUAAUCAGAAAGCCACGGCUAACUACGUG
rnacentral:rRNA from 1 species